UAUGUGAUCGUCUCUCGCAUAUCAAUAAGCGGAGGAAAAGAAACUAACAAGGAUUCCCCUAGUAACGGCGAGUGAAGCGGGAAGAGCUCAAAUUUGAAAUCUUAAAGGGUUUCCCUUUACGAAUUGUAGUUUAAAGAAGUGUUUUCUGUUGAGGUUUUGGUAAAAGUUCUUUGGAAUAGGACAUCAUAGAGGGUGAGAAUCCCGUAUUUGACCUUUACUUUCAACUUUGUGAUACACUUUCAAAGAGUCGGAUUGUUUGGGAAUGCAGUCCAAAAUGGGUGGUAAAUUUCAUCUAAAGCUAAAUAUUGGCGAGAGACCGAUAGCGAACAAGUACCGUGAGGGAAAGAUGAAAAGAACUUUGAAAAGAGAGUUAAACAGUACGUGGAAUUGUCAAAAGGGAAGCGUUUGACACCAGUGUUGUUUUUCUGAAAAUCAAUUAAAGAACUGUUUAUGCUAAGCUGUUUAGACUUUAUCAGCUAUCUGUUUAGUUUUGAGCUUUUCUUUAAUGCACUUUUCAGUUAACAAGUCAACAUCAAUUUCUUUUGCUGUAAAAAAGCUUGAGGAAGGUGGCUUGAGAUUCGUCUUAAGUGUUUAUAGCCUCUUGCCUAUGCAGUCGGAGAGAUUGAGGUCUGCAGCGUAGAUCCUUCGGGGCUAAAUGCGUUUGUGCUAAGUUAUAGCAUUUUAUAGACAACUUGUUGACUAUGACUUGUCUUGUAGCUUACUCGCUUAUGUUAUUUUACCUACGCUUAGGAUGUUGAGCGCAUGUCUCUCUCU
rnacentral:rRNA from 1 species